CUGGCUCGGCUACUGGUUUUUAAUGUGUAAGGUUGCUAAGGCAUUAAGAACUAGACGGGCCAGCU
ensembl:miRNA mdo-mir-7328 mdo-mir-7328